AACUCUUUACUCGCUCACUCCCCCGCGCCACUGAUCUCUCCUUCCGGGACCCUAAUUCCGCAGGAGGCCGCGCCGGGGGAGUGACGCCGAUGCAGCGCCGGGUGGGCAUGGCGGACGGCGAGGCUAGGUGUCGGACGCUCGGCGCCGUCAUCAAGGAGAAGGAUGAGGAGUUCGCGCUCUUCCUCGAGAUGCGCCGACGCGAGAAGGAGCGCGGCGCUGCGGCCGCCGCGGCGGACCAGCUUCUGCUCUCCGGGGACGUCGCGGCGGAGAACGGGAUGCUGCUCCUCGACCCGCCGCCACCCGCUGAGCCCAAACCGGCGGCGUACAAGGUGGCUGGCGGCGGAUUUAGGAGGGCGCCUGGGGGAGUGGACGACUUCCUCAAUGCAGACGCCAGCGACAAGAACGAUUACGACUGGCUUCUGACACCACCAGGAACUCCAUUAUUCUCAUCUCUAAAAGUUGAGCCAAAAAGGUCCCUGGUGAGUCAAGCUGGAACGCCAAAGGCUCGUCCAACUGCCUUGAAAUCAAGGCAACUUGAUGUUGUGAUGGAGGAGGGGCAAGGGGAGGAAUUGGAGGUUAUGUUGUCGGAAUCAGAUGACAGUGAGUUUGAUCAUGAUGAUGAGUUUCCACCGUCAACUGAUGGAGAUGAGUUGUCAAAAACUGAAAAGACAAAGAGAGGAGGAAAGAGGUCAAGAGCUGGUAUUCAGUUGUCCCCCUCCAAGUGCAAGGCGAAUAGAGUAAAGAGGGCUGGUUGCUGGAAGUAUUUUAAGGUGGUCACUGUUGCUUCUAGAAAGGAACUUGGGGUUAUGGAGACAAAAGCCAAGUGCAAGUUCUGUCAUAGAUCUUAUUUGUACCAUCAAGGGGGCAUCACUACAACACUAAACCGACACCUAGACAAGUGCACACAGUAUUUGAACAAGCUGGCACAAGCUAAGAAAAAUCUUGCUCAAGCUAGCAGUGUGUCAUCAGAAUCCACUUUUAGCACUGGGGGUAGGAUCCUUGAUGAUUACAAGAGUUCAUUGAAGCCAGCAACAGUCCAGGCUUUGGUGUGUGCUUCUAGUUGGAUACGUGGGUCUCGAAGUUCACCUAUUCUUGUAACUGGAGAAGGUGAUGAUGGUGACAUCGAGUCUGUGGAAUUUCCAAAGUGUGUGGUGGCAAGUAAUUAGGCACAUGGUCACAUACUCACAUUGAGGAGAUGGAGGAGAGGGAGAGAUAGGACCCGGGAGAGGAGACAUGAGAGGCACAUGGUCAUUAUAUUUUGUUGGCUGUAACUGUAAGCCUGUAAUUGUUGGUUGCAACUUGUAAGUUGCAACUGUUGCUAACCUGACAUAUUUUGUUGGCUCCCUGCAACUUUGUCCUGAACUCCUGAACCUGAAGUCCUGAUCUAUAAUUGUUGGCUGCAUCACUGCAUGUAUUUGGUUCUAGAACUGAAACUCUGAAAGUAUGGAAUUAUGGAUUA